rnacentral:rRNA from 1 species
UGCUUAACACAUGCAAGUCGAACGGAAAGGCCCUGCUUUUGUGGGGUGCUCGAGUGGCGAACGGGUGAGUAACACGUGAGUAACCUGCCCUUGACUUUGGGAUAACUUCAGGAAACUGGGGCUAAUACCGGAUAGGAGCUCCUGCUGCAUGGUGGGGGUUGGAAAGUUUCGGCGGUUGGGGAUGGACUCGCGGCUUAUCAGCUUGUUGGUGGGGUAGUGGCUUACCAAGGCUUUGACGGGUAGCCGGCCUGAGAGGGUGACCGGCCACAUUGGGACUGAGAUACGGCCCAGACUCCUACGGGAGGCAGCAGUGGGGAAUAUUGCACAAUGGGCGGAAGCCUGAUGCAGCAACGCCGCGUGCGGGAUGACGGCCUUCGGGUUGUAAACCGCUUUCGCCUGUGACGAAGCGUGAGUGACGGUAAUGGGUAAAGAAGCACCGGCUAACUACGUGCCAGCAGCCGCGGUGAUACGUAGGGUGCGAGCGUUGUCCGGAUUUAUUGGGCGUAAAGGGCUCGUAGGUGGUUGAUCGCGUCGGAAGUGUAAUCUUGGGGCUUAACCCUGAGCGUGCUUUCGAUACGGGUUGACUUGAGGAAGGUAGGGGAGAAUGGAAUUCCUGGUGGAGCGGUGGAAUGCGCAGAUAUCAGGAGGAACACCAGUGGCGAAGGCGGUUCUCUGGGCCUUUCCUGACGCUGAGGAGCGAAAGCGUGGGGAGCGAACAGGCUUAGAUACCCUGGUAGUCCACGCUGUAAACGGUGGGUACUAGGUGUGGGGUCCAUUCCACGGGUUCCGUGCCGUAGCUAACGCUUUAAGUACCCCGCCUGGGGAGUACGGCCGCAAGGCUAAAACUCAAAGGAAUUGACGGGGCCCCGCACAAGCGGCGGAGCAUGCGGAUUAAUUCGAUGCAACGCGUAGAACCUUACCUGGGUUUGACAUGGAUCGGGAGUGCUCAGAGAUGGGUGUGCCUCUUUUGGGGUCGGUUCACAGGUGGUGCAUGGCUGUCGUCAGCUCGUGUCGUGAGAUGUUGGGUUAAGUCCCGCAACGAGCGCAACCCUUGUUCACUGUUGCCAGCACGUUAUGGUGGGGACUCAGUGGAGACCGCCGGGGUCAACUCGGAGGAAGGUGGGGAUGACGUCAAGUCAUCAUGCCCCUUAUGUCCAGGGCUUCACGCAUGCUACAAUGGCUGGUACAGAGAGUGGCGAGCCUGUGAGGGUGAGCGAAUCUCGGAAAGCCGGUCUCAGUUCGGAUUGGGGUCUGCAACUCGACCUCAUGAAGUCGGAGUCGCUAGUAAUCGCAGAUCAGCAACGCUGCGGUGAAUACGUUCCCGGGGCUUGUACACACCGCCCGUCAAGUCAUGAAAGUUGGUAACACCCGAAGCCGGUGGCCUAACCGUUGAGGGGGAGCCGUCGAAGGUGGGACUGGUGAUUAGG